CCAUCCUUUCCAACACCUGUCUUCUAACAAUUUAAGUAAAACAACAAUAAGGUUCAAAUAUUGGUGAUUUAUAUUAAAACUUGUCUUUUUUUUUAGAUUAGUCUAUGUGUGCAUCAGAACAUGGUGAAUAAAGUUACUAAAAAGAGCUUAAGGAGUAACUGGCAAAAUUAAAUAACUGGCAAGAAACUGGAACAAUUAAAUACUGAAGAGUCACUUUUGGCAGGAAAGUGUUCAGAACAGCAGACUCUCAGAGCAAGCAGGAGGAGGCAUUAAGCUAUAGGCAAUCACAUUACUUGAAGAGAAAAGAUGUCUUCCCUUCUGUACCAACUCUUUAAUUAUACAUGUGGGAACCAGUUUCAUCCUUCUACUCUGAGCUGCAUGAAAUCCAGGGCUUGGGUUCACCUCAUCUGAUCAAGGAGCAUGAGAUGCAGAGGAAAAGAAGAAGUAAUGCAGUUAAUUAUAUAGACAUUUUUAAAGGUACAGUGCUAAUGCAGUAAAUUUGCAUAUGUUAAGUAAUUAUUUUGUUACUGUUAGCAUAUAAUUUGAAGUUCCUGCACAAGCUUAUUGAAGACACAAUAUCUAAAUUAGAGUUGGUAAUUAUUUGUGAAUUUCAUCCAGAACCUGUUAUUAACACUUACAGAAUAUAAGGAAUUAUAUUUUCCUCAAAUCCUUGACUUCAAAAGAAUCAUAAUCCUGUGAUAAACAGGUUUUAGUAAAUGCUCAAAGUCAAUUCUCAUGCAAUCCUGAAUAAUUUCAGACUUCCAUUAUGUACCUGUUGCCAUCAAUGCAGAAAGGUUUACAUUUUUUUUAAGGUUUAAUUUUUUUUUUCAGCACUUCUGUAGUGCUGAAGCAGCCCAUUUUGAAAAUCUGAGGCAAAAAUAAUUUUCCUUUGACUCUUCUUUUACCAAGCAGGUCAGAUGAUUUGUGAAUGGAUGCACUCUCUAGAGAGCAGAAGUUUUGAUUAAACUUACAGGUUGGUGGUGGGGGGGUGGUGGUGUAGUUUUGUUUAUUUGUGCAUUGUUUUCUUUUCCUGCUUUCACCAGAUUCUCUUAGGAAAAUAAAAAGUAAAUACAUUGUGACUUGCAAUAAGUGGAUUUUUCCAUAGUGUGAGAAGCUGAAGUUAUUUGGCAAAUAUUAAUUUAAGGUUUGUUUUAAGAAAGCGUGUAUAAUUGUGGUUUAAAUAAUUCUUAAAGUAUUUCAGGUAAAAAAAAUCAAAAAUCUUGUCUCUAUCCAAUUCAAAUUCAUAUUAUCUGAUGAUCAAAGAUUGGUUCACUGCCAUUAAUCUAAUUGUGAGAGUCUAUGAAAUAUGUUGAAUGUUCAUUUCCCAGUUAGAGUCACAUUAUGAGUAUCAUGUUUGUGCAUCAGAAAUAAAAUUUAAAAUUCAUGUUUCUUUCUUUAUAAUAUCUUAAACUAACUUAAAAUAAAUUUUAGCAACUUCUUACUGAUUCUUGGACAUAUGGUGAGACUUAGAGCAGUUUAAGAAAGCUACUCUACAUAAACAAGAUUUUACCAGAAAUAUUUUUUUCUGGGACUUUUGAGGAACUGUAGGUAAAUAAAGAUUCAUUAACAGCCAAGAAAACAUAUGAAAGUCAC